rnacentral:lncRNA from 1 species
UGAGGUAUGAAAGUUCACAUACCCUACUCUUUAAUGCCCCUUUCCCAAUAACAUCUAAUGACCUAAUGAAAUUACUUUUUAAAUAAUUUUUUUGUUCAAAUUUUUAAAAAAAUUCAUAAAAAAAAAUUAUUUUCAAAGAAAAAAUAAUUUUUAUCUAUUUAUAAAAAAAAAUAUUUUAUAAAUUCAGAAUAUAGUUUUUUUUUUAAUUUUUCGGAAUAACUUUUUUUUAAGAACUUAUUUUAUUUUCAGUUUUUU